rnacentral:rRNA from 1 species
GACGAACCGUGCGAACGUUGUUCGGAAUCACUGGGCUUAAAGGGCGCGUAGGCGGGCUGUCAAGUCUGGGGUGAAAUGCCGCGGCUCAACCGUGGAACUGCCUCAGAUACUGACGGCCUCGAGGAAGGUAGGGGCAUGCGGAACUGUAGGUGGAGCGGUGAAAUGCGUUGAUAUCUACAGGAACUCCGGUGGCGAAAGCGGCGUGCUGGACCUUUUCUGACGCUGAGGCGCGAAAGCUAGGGGAGCAAACGGG